rnacentral:rRNA from 1 species
CACGUAGUUAGCCGUGGCUUAUUCCUCAGGUACCGUCAUCUGUUCGUCCCUGAGAAAAGAAGUUUACAACCCGAAAGCCUUCUUCCUUCGCGCGGCGUUGCUGGGUCAGGCUUGCGCCCAUUGCCCAAUAUUCCCCACUGCUGCCUCCCGUAGGAGUCUGGGCCGUGUCUCAGUCCCAAUGUGGCCGGCCAACCUCUCAGUCCGGCUACUGAUCGUCGCCUUGGUGGGCCGUUGCCCCGCCAACUAGCUAAUCAGACGCGAGCCCAUCUCAGAGCGAUAAAUCUUUGGCAGUCAGAGCCAUGUGGCCCAAUGCAUCAUGCGUAUUAGCAGAUGUUUCCAUCUGUUACUCCCAUCCAGCAGUUGCUCACGCGUUACUCACCCGUCCGCCACUACGGCACUUCCCCCGCUACGUUCGUACCGAAAACCGUUCCGUUUUACGGGGGUCGUCCCCGUUCGUACCGUUGCUAGUGUGUUAAGCCGACGCCGCCAGCGUUCACUCCGU